CCCGCCUGCCCUGUGACUCUAAGUUUAACGGCCGCGGUAUUUUGACCGUGCGAAGGUAGCGUAAUCACUUGUCUUUUAAAUGAAGACCCGUAUGAAUGGCACAACGAGGGCUUGACUGUCUCCUUCUCUUCGUCAAUGAAAUUGAUCUUCCCGUGCAGAAGCGGGAAUAAAAACAUAAGACGAGAAGACCCUAUGGAGCUUUAGACAAAAGGCAGACUACGUUAAGACCCCUAAAUCACAGGAUUAAACACAGUACCCCCUAGCCAACAUGUCUUUGGUUGGGGCGACCGCGGGGGAAAACAAAGCCCCCAUGUGGACUGGGAAAACCUUUCCCACAGCCAAGAGCUACAACUCUAAGCAACAGAAUUUCUGACCAAUAUGAUCCGGCAAAUGCCGAUCAACGGACCAAGUUACCCUAGGGAUAACAGCGCAAUCCCCUCCCAGAGUCCCUAUCGACAAGGGGGUUUACGACCUCGAUGUUGGAUCAGGACAUCCUAAUGGUGCAACCGCUAUUAAGGGUUCGUUUGUUCAACGA
rnacentral:rRNA from 1 species